rnacentral:rRNA from 1 species
UACGUAGGGGGCAAGCGUUGUCCGGAAUCAUUGGGCGUAAAGCGCGUGUAGGCGGCUUGGUAAGUCCGCUCUGAAAGCCCGGGGCUCAACCCCGGGAGGCGGGUGGAUACUGUCAAGCUCGAGUCCGGAAGAGGCGAGUGGAAUUCCUGGUGUAGCGGUGAAAUGCACAGAUAUCAGGAGGAACACCAAUGGCGAAGGCAGCUCGCUGGGACGUGACUGACGCUGAGACGCGAAAGCGUGGGGAGCAAACAGG